rnacentral:rRNA from 1 species
AAAUGAAUUGACGGGGGCCCGCACAAGCGGUGGAUUAUGUGGUUUAAUUCGAAGCAACGCGCAGAACCUUACCUAGGCUUGACAUCCCUUGACAAACGUGGAAACACGUCUUUGUAGCAAUACACAAGGAGACAGGUGCUGCAUGGCUGUCGUCAGCUCGUGUUGUGAAAUGUUGGGUUAAGUCCCGCAACGAGCGCAACCCCUGGAUUUAGUUGCCAGCAUUAAGUUGGGCACUCUAAAUUAACUGCCAGCGUUAAGCUGGAGGAAGGUGGGGAUGACGUCAAGUCCUCAUGGCCCUUACGCCUAGGGCUACACACGUAAUACAAUGGAUAGGACAAAGGGACGCCAACCUGCAAAGGGGAGCUAAUCUCAAAAACCUGUCCUCAGUUCGGAUUGGGGGCUGCAAUUCGCCCCCAUGAAGGCGGAAUCGCUAGUAAUCGUGGAUCAGAACGCCACGGUGAAUACGUUCCCGGGCCUUGUACACACCGCCCGU